GUUUGAAGUUAAUCCAAAAGAAAAACAAAAAGAACAAGUUUCAGCGAAGGCAAAGCAAAGAAGAAAAGAAAUGGCAAAGAACCUCAUCAACUCCGUCAGCUUUACUGUUCUCUUGGAAUCCUUAAUACUGAGGCUCAAACCUGUGGUGCUGGUGGAUGUCUUACGGCCGCUUCACGUGUGUUCCUUGGCGAGUGCCCGUCGGCCCACGGUACAACAAAUGCUCAAUGUUGUACGUGUUGCGUAGCCACAUACGGUAGUCCUCCAGUCUGCUGGGCGGUUGUUGAGGGAACUGACAGUCACUGCCACUGCUACAAAAAGGCUUAAAAAUAACCUCAUCAUGUAAUUACCAAGUGUGACUUUUGUUCCCUUUCGGUGUGAGGACAUGCCAUUUGCGUGUGUUUAUGUUCAAGUUUCUUUUGCUUCGAAAUAAAAAACAUUAAGGGGAAAGCUUACCAUUGCAUGCCCCCCUCUCAAAUGUAAUCUUAUCUUCUGUGCACUUUUAUUUUAAUCAUCAUAUAUAAUAUAAUCGUUUUGUA